rnacentral:rRNA from 1 species
CAGUAGCCGCGGUAAUACGUAUGUCGCGAGCGUUAUCCGGGGUUAUUGGGCAUAAAGGGCAUCUAGGCGGCACGACAAGUCAGGGGUGAAAACUUGCGGCUCAACUGCAAGCUUGCCUUUGAAACUGUAGUGCUAGAGUAUUGGAAAGGUGGGCGGAACUACACGAGUAGAGGUGAGAUUCGUAGAUAUGUGUAGGAAUGCCGAUGAUGAAGAUAGCUCACUGGACGAUAACUGACGCUGAAGUGCGAAAGCUCGGGGAGCGAACAGGAUUAGAUACCCCCGUAGUCCCUGUCUCUUAUAC